CCGCUUGGAGAUGACGAACUGAUCUCCUACAUCAUCGCUGGUCUCGAUCUCGAGUACCAGCCACUCAUCUCCGUGCUCGACGCCCGAACUGCUCCAGUCUCCCUCGACGACUUAUUUGCUCAAAUGAGCAACUUCGACC